GACGAACGCUGGCGGCGUGCUUAACACAUGCAAGUCGAACGGUGAAGCGCCUUCCUUUUUGGUGGGUGUGGAUGAGUGGCGAACGGGUGAGUAACACGUGAGUAACCUGCCCCCUUCUUCUGGAUAACCGCAUGAAAGUGUGGCUAAUACGGGAUAUUCUGGGUCUGUCGCAUGAUGGGUCUGGGAAAGAUAUUGUUUCGGUGGGGGAUGGGCUCGCGGCCUAUCAGCUUGUUGGUGGGGUGAUGGCCUACCAAGGCGGUGACGGGUAGCCGGCCUGAGAGGGUGGACGGUCACACUGGGACUGAGACAUGGCCCAGACUCCUACGGGAGGCAGCAGUGGGGAAUAUUGCACAAUGGGCGCAAGCCUGAUGCAGCGACGCCGCGUGAGGGAUGGAGGCCUUCGGGUUGUGAACCUCUUUCGCCAGUGAAGCAGGCCUGCCUCGUUUGUGGGUGGGUUGACGGUAGCUGGAUAAGAAGCGCCGGCUAACUACGUG
rnacentral:rRNA from 1 species